rnacentral:sRNA from 1 species
CCCGGCGGUUUCAAUACGAAUGACUAGCAUAUCAAAAAUGCCGCGUUGACUGGCCAAUAGCCAUAUUGGCCCUUUUUUA